rnacentral:RNase_P_RNA from 1 species
UGAGUAAGUUAGAUGAUCGCGGCUGCCGUUUGGCAGACGAGGAAAGUCCGAGCUCCGGAGGGCAGGGUGCUGGGUAAUACCCAGUGGAGGUGACUCCAAGGAAAGUGCAACAGAGAUAUACCGCAACCCUGGAUAUUAGAUAAUAUCUAAUUUCUAGGAUGUAAGGGUGGAAAGGUGAGGUAAGAGCUCACCAGCAUCCAGGCGACUGGAUUGGCUAUGUAAACCCCAUCUGGAGCAAGACCGAAUAGAGGACAUGAAAGCGGUUGCCCGCCGCGUCCCGGGAAAGGUCGCUUGAGCCUGUUGGCAACAUCAGGCCUAGACAGAUGAUCAUUCAUGACAGAACUCGGCUUACCGACUUAUCUCACAUU